rnacentral:sRNA from 1 species
CCAUAGCCCCGAUAGUAGCGGCAUCCUUUUUUGUUAUUGCGAUUGCUAAAAAGUUCAACAGAUUGCUUCACUUCGUUCGCAAUGACAAAAAAGAUAUAGCGGAUAGCGGGAUUAGCU